rnacentral:rRNA from 1 species
UACGUAGGGUGCAAGCGUUGUCCGGAAUUACUGGGACGUAAGGCUCGUAGGCGGCCAACUAAGUCAUACGUGAAAUCCCUCGGCUUAACCGGGAACUGCGUCUGAAUACUGGAUGGCUUGAGUUCGGGAGAGGGAUGCGGAAUUCCAGGUGUAGCGGUGAAAUGCGUAGAUAUCUGGAGGAACACCGGUGGCGAAGGCGGCAUCCUGGACCGAUACUGACGCUGAGGAGCGAAAGCCAGGGGAGCAAAGCGGG